GCCAGGAUGGCCGAGUGGUUAAGGCGUUGGACUUAAGUUCCAAUGAGCAGAUGCUCUCGUGGGUUCAAACCCCACUCCUGGUA
rfam:Oreochromis niloticus linkage group LG18, whole genome shotgun sequence.